GCUGGGCGUGGUGGCGCACACCUGUAAUCCCGGCUACUUGGGAGGCUGAGGCAGGAGAAUUGCUUGAACCCGGGAGGCAGAGACUGCAGUGAGCUGAGAUCAUGCCAUUGCACUGCAGCCUGGGUGACAGAGCAAGACUCUGUCUCAA
rfam:Gorilla gorilla gorilla genomic chromosome, chr19, whole genome shotgun sequence